AGCCAUGUAUCAAGGGUGCACUAUGCACGAGCAUCGAAAGGGAAUCGGGUUAAUAUUCCUAAACCGGGACAUGGCGGCGGACGACAAUGUUAGGAAAUCUGGAGAUGUCGUCGGGGGCCCCAAGAAGAGUUAUCUUUUCUUUUUAAUAGCUUGCCCACCCUGAAAUCGGUUCAACUGGAGAUAGGGUCCAGCAGCUGGAAGAGCAUCGCACGUCUUGCAGUGUUCGGUGCACCCUCGGCAGCCCUUGAAAAUAUGGAGGACCGAGUACCGUCCAUGCCCGGUCGUACUCAUAACCGCAUGAGGUCUCCAAGGUGAACAACCUCUAGUCAAUAGAACAAUGUAGGUAAGGGAAGUCGGCAAAACGGAUCCAUAACUUUAGGAAAAGGAUUGGCUCUGAGGGCUGGGCCUAGGGGUCUACUUCCUCAACCCGUGGGCUAUCGGUAGUCUUCCCGAGUUGCUAUCACGGUGAGGGCGGGUAGUCGUGUGCCGAUUGGGCUACGCACGUAGAAUGUCCUCUCGCAUGGGCUUUUCCCUAGGCAGCGAACAGUUGACUCAGAACUGGUAGGAACAAAGGGAAUCCGACUGUUUAAUUAAAACAAAGCAUUGCAAUGGUCCUUGCGGAUGCUGACGCAAUGUGAUUUCUGCCCAGUGCUCUGAAUGUCAAAGUGAAGAAAUUCAACCAAGCGCGGGUAAACAGUGGGAGUAAGUAUGACUCUCUUAAGGUAGCCAAAUGCCUUGUCAUCUAAUUAGUGAUGCGCAUGAAUGGAUUAAUGAGAUUCCCACUGUCCCUAUCUACUAUCUAGCGAAACCACAGCCAAGGGAACGGGCUUGGCAAAUUUAGUGGGGAAAGAAGACCCUGUUGAGCUUGACUCUAGUUUGACUUUGUGAAAUGACUUGAGAGGUGUAGAAUAAGUGGGAUCCAUUUUCAGUGCAAGUGAAAUACCACUACUUUUAACGUUAUUUUACUUAUUCAGUGGGGCGGAGACGGGACAUUGCACCUAUUUUUGGCCUUAAGACACGUUUCGAUAGGUCGAUCUGGGCGGAAUACAUUGUCAGGUGGGGAUUUUGGCUGGGGAAGCACAUCUGUUAAAAGAUAGCGCAGGUGUCCUAAGAUGAGCUCAACGAGAACAUAAAUCUUGUGUGGAACAAAAGGGUAAAAGCUCAUUUGAUUUUUAUUUUCAGUACGAAUACAAACUGUGAAAGCGUGGCCUAUCGAUCCUUUAGGCUUUCGGAAUUUGAAGCUAGAGUUGUUAGAAAAGUUACCACAGGGAUAACUGGCUUGUGGCAGCCAAGCGUUCAUAGCGACAUUGCUUUUUGAUCCUUCAAUUUCGGCUCUUCCUAUCAUUGUGAAGCAGAAUUCACCAAGUGUUGGAUUGUUCACCCACCAAUAG
rfam:Picea glauca, whole genome shotgun sequence.